rnacentral:lncRNA from 1 species
AGGGGGCGGGGAGGGAGGGGAGGGAGAGAGGAGGAAGGGGUGAGAGGGAGAAACCUGCCGCGGCUCUCCGCCUCUUUGUCUGCUCUGGGACUUGGAACAAAAGGGGAAACUCUGAUGAACUCCUUCUCCAGCUCCCUGGACGCCCGAGUAUCUCUUUCUCGCAACUUUGUCAACGCGACUUUCUCCGCUGUCAGGCUGCGCAAAAGUAUCCUAGCGCCUCGCAGGCUGCAACAAUGGAAACAAUGUCCCUUCAAAGUGCGACGAAGUGGAGGGAGAAGGUGUCAUACCAGCGACUCCAAGAGUCAUGUCACCCACUUAGCAGGAGUACUUCUACUGAAAUGCCUUCGAAUUUCUCUUACUGGAUAUAUACCUACCAGCCGCUAGCAUGAAGAUGCCAGGACCGCUGCAAGUUAGCACUGGACAAAGUAGCAUCAACUUCUUCAUUUAGAGUUUCUUCAGUUAAAUUGCUGGGAUUUUCGACAAGGCUUUCCUUAUGUGGAUUAUUGGAGUGUGAUGCCCGAGAAUUCUCUACUUGUAGAAGCACGCCCACGGGACUGCAGAAGCCUUCACACCCACCCAGCACGCUCAGAAAGUACUGUCUUCAACCUUACCAAUGUCAGUGGCGGCGACGGUGGCGUCACCAUCACCAUCAGAGAAAAAGAAAUAUGCCUUUAUGUCAUGGUGGAACCAUCUAGGGAGGCCUGCCACUGUUUGCUGAGCUCCGGGUGAGGAUGAAGACACUUUGACAUGGCCAGCUUCAGACUCGGGAUCUGUCGGUGUUAGCAGCCGAAGGAGAAUGAGGAGGAAGAGGAGGAGAAAGAGGAGGAGGAAGUAAGACAGAGGGGGACAAGAGGACCAAGAGGGCACAUGGCUGAGGAGGAGGAGAACAACAACAACAACAACAACAACAACAACAACAAGAAGCUUGGUGGACUCUGGAAUUGGCUAAAGAGAUGAUGACAAACCUUCUCCAGCCAGUGGCCAUGGAUUAGACUUUUUCAGGAUGUGUUCCUGAGUCUCGUGAGUAGCACAUGGCAGUUGUUGUCACCUUGGGCUGAGCCGUGAAGAUUCUCACCCUCCCUUGUUGGGGAUGAACUCCGGGAUUCUAAGGAGAGGUCAGCAGGUGUUUCACAGACUGUUCCUGUUGGAGGAUUUGUCUGAUACUCUUCUCCUGAUUAGUCUGGGCUCUACAUUUCCCCAAGGGUGAAACUUGGAAGCCCUCUCCAGGAUGCAGCAGGUAGCUGAGGAGAAAACGAAGACUGACCAGCCCAGAGCUCAGAGCUUCCUCCCAUGCUCAGGAUUUACCACCAAUGCCAUUACAUCGGCCUCUUCUUGUAUGCCUCUGGAAACCACAUGUGUCCUCUGUUUGUAAUGGUUUGGCUAUGGUUGCUGGCCCCUCUUGGACAUUGUUUUCAGAACUUAAAGAAACAUUGCUUUAAAGAUUUAUUAGAACAUAUUUAAAAUAAAACCAUCUUCUCAUUUAGUAUGCAA